rnacentral:rRNA from 1 species
UCCACGCCGUAAACGAUGAUCACUCGUUGUGUGCGAUAUAUUGUACGUGGCUGAGCGGAAGCGAUUAAAGGUGAUCCACCUGGGGAGUACGUCGGCAACGAUGAAACUCAAAGGAAUUGACGGGGACCCGCACAAGCGGAGGAACAUGUGGUUUAAUUCGAUGAUACGCGAGGAACCUUACCUGGGCUUAAAUGUAGCGUGACUUUUCUGG